UUGGGCUUCAGUUGUUUUGGGUUAUGGGCUUUUACUGGGUUGCGGAGGAGUGCCGCCGGAGGAAGUCGGCGGCGGCGGCGUUCAACCGCAAGGGCUGGCGGCAGGUCAUGGAGGGCGGCCAGCUGCCGGCGAGCAGCUCUGAGAAGAGGGAGGUAAGCUGCGGGGAGCACCGGGAGGAAGGAGAGAGUAGUCGGGAAAGGAGGACGGCGAAGCGUUUCCGUCGGGUCCGCCACCAGCAAUUGCUCGUCGGAGAGGCCGGAAUCAGUUGUCAACGUCGGUCGGGUGGAAGGUACGUUUUUUGGUCAGUGUUCGUAUGAGACAUCAACGGAUGGCCGCAUCUACUUCAACCAGGGCUGGAAGGAGUUCCUCAUUGGGACUGGUCUUGGGGUUGGCACAACUGUGCUAAUCACCAUGAAGACCAAUGUGCUCAAUGAACUAAACAUGAUGGUUGCCCUUGACACCAUCUAAGUACCAGUUGAGGUCAAUAAGCGGAGUCAUAGCAGUAAUUGGGGUACUUAGCCUCUAAGUAGGUAUCAACUAUCAACCAUAUGUAAUCGGCCUCGAGUCCUGAACUAGUUUGAACGUGUGUUGUUGAUGUGUCGCAACUUUUAUCAUUCCCGCAAGUGAACCAUACAUAUAUAUGUAUGUGCUUGUGCAUAGUUUGUGGUUUUGUAGACCUACGUAGUUUUUCUUUUUAUCUUUUUUGAUUUAUUGUUUUUGUUUUUUGAGGGAAACAGCGGGGCUCUGCUGCAUAUUUGUUGUUGAUUUUUAGAAUAAUAAUACAAAGAGUAUUUGUACAAAAUAAGGGGAAAAAACAAGCAGGUGAAACUAAAAUACAACAAUCUUCGUUUUUGUUA